ensembl:antisense Gm13134 predicted gene 13134
UCUGAAGACCUUGGGGGACCUGGCUCUGUGGGGAUCGCCAUUCAGUGGUGGCCUAACUGUGUUAUCAACACCAGGCCGGGAGCAGAGAGGAAGGUUGCCAAGGGCAGUGUUUUUGUAAGAACAGAUGCUCAGGACACAGACGAGAGGAAGCAACCACCACAGGACACAGGGCACCGUCUAUAAGCCAAGCAGAGUGGUCUCAGGAGACAGAGCCAGCCACAUCAUGAUCUUAAGACUACAGCCUCCAGGACUUGAGAUAAUAAAUCCCUAAAGCACUAAAUUCCCCGCCAUGAGCAUGAAGGUGAGGGGCAGGAUCUCCUGUGAUCCCAUCACAGUCCCAAGGCAGGCCAUGGAAGAGAAAGACCCCAUCACAGUCCCAAGGCAGGCCAUGGAAGAGAAAGACCCCAUCACAGUCCCAAGGCAGGCCAUGGAAGAGAAAGACACACUCAACCUAUUCCCACCCCGGCCUCGAAUGCUCAGAACUCAGGUUGGUGCCUCUGUCCCAUCUGAGGUCGUCUGAAACUGGUAUCUUCAGUAAGUGUGUUUAGACUCACUCAAUUGCUGCUGUCUGUGGAGAAGUACGGUGACAUGCUAAGCGCACAAUUGCCUCUGCCUCUGUACCUCCUCAGAGAGGCUAGCAGCCAGCUGGACAGGAGCCCAGCAUUCUGGACUCUAGAGCAGCGGCUCUCAACCUUCCAAAUGCUGCGACCCUUUCAUACAGUUCCUCGCCUGUGGUGA